UACAGAGGGUGCAAGCGUUAAUCGGAAUUACUGGGCGUAAAGCGCACGUAGGCGGUUUUUUAAGUCAGAUGUGAAAGCCCCGGGCUCAACUUGGGAAUUGCAUUUGAAACUGGAAAGCUAGAGUGUGUGAGAGGGGGGUAGAAUUCCAAGUGUAGCGGUGAAAUGCGUAGAGAUUUGGAGGAAUACCAGUGGCGAAGGCGGCCCCCUGGCACAACACUGACGCUCAGGUGCGAAAGCGUGGGGAGCAAACAGG
rnacentral:rRNA from 1 species